GCAACAUGGAAAAUUAUUGUGGAAAUCGUUGCAGCUCAAGUCAACUACAAAAUACACAAUGCAAUGUUCUCUCUAUGGGCUGGCUGGCUAUGUAGCUAGCGAGAAAACGUAGCUACACAGUAAUUCCAUAGGCCCAAAUGAUAUCAAAUCAAAUUUAUUUAUAUAGCCCUUCUUACAUCAGCUGAUAUCUCAAAGUGCUGUACAGAAACCCAGCCUAAAACCCCAAACAGCAAGCAAUGCAGGUGUAGAAGCAUGGUGGCUAGGAAAAACUCCCUAGAAAGGCCAAAACCUAGGAAGAAACCUAGAGAGGAACCAGGCUGGGGUGGCCAGUCCUCUUCUGGCUGUGCCGGGUGGAGAUUAUAACAGCACAUGGCCAAGAUGUUCAAAUGUUCAUAAAUGACCAGCAUGGUCAAAUAAUAAUAAUCAUAGUAGUUGUCGAGGGUGCAACAAGUCAGUAACACAAGAGUAAGUGUCAGUUGGCUUUUUCAUAGCCGAUCUUUGAGGGUAUCUCUACCACUCCUGCUGUCUCUAGAGAGUUGAAAACAGCAGGUCUGGGACAGGUUGCACGUCCGGUGAACAGGUCAGGGUUCCAUAGCCGCAGGCAGAACAGUUGGAACUGGAGGAGCAGCACGGCCAGGUGGACUGGGGACAGCAAGGAGUCAUCAAGCCAGGUAGUCCUGAGGCAUGGUCCUAGGGCUCAGGUCCUCCGAGAGAGAGAAAGAAAGAGAGAAAGAGAGAAUUAGCGAGAGCAUAUUUAAAUUCACACAGGACACCGGAAAAGACAAGAGAAAUACUCCAGAUGUGACAGACUGACCCUUGCCCCCCGACACAUAAACUACUGCAGCAUAAAUACUGGAGGCUGAGACAGGAGGGGUCAGGAGACACUGUGGCCCCAUCCGAUGAAACCCCCGGACAGGGCCAAACAGGUAGGAUAUAACCCCACCCACUUUGCCAAAGCAUCGCCCCCACACCACUGGAGGGAUAUCUCAAACCACCAACUUACCAUCCCGAGACAAGGCCGAGUAUAGCCCACAAAGAUCUCCGCCAUGGCACAACCCAAGGGGUGGCGCCAACCCAGACAGGAAGACCACGUCAGUGACUCAACCCACUCAAGUGACACCCCUUCACAUUAUUUAAGAUAGAAUUUAAAUAUUAUUUUUGAAAUUAUCAGUGAAUGUAAAAACAAAAUGCAAUAGGCACCAUAAAAGUAUUUAACAAAUUGAAAAUGAAUCUUGAUAUGUAAGGUUUAUGUACUCUUGUUUGUAUAUUUCAGUUUUUUUGUAUUUGUUGUGUUCAUAAUAAAAAAAAACAUUUUUAAAAAAUUAAAUAAUAAUAAUACCAAAGACAAUAUCAGCAUGUAAAGUAGCUAGUUAGCUGUACAAUCACCUAAACAUCCUGCAAUAUCAACUUAGGCGUCUCACCAUGUUCAACCUGUAUAUCGAUGUGCCUCAGAGCGAGAAAGUCUUACAUUCACAAAGGCAUAAUAUACAUAUAUAAAUAUAAAUAUAUAUAAACUUGAGGCAAUGGGAAACGUUGCCCAUGCUACGUCAAUGGUCCGCGUGGAGCAUUCUGGGCGAUUCUGAGACAAGGAGCGCUCCUGCAAGGAGUGAAUGGGAGUCUAUUGGGCGCUAGCUCAAAACCCAACAUUAGCACGAAUUUCGUCAACAACAAGUAUAACAUUACAAGUAUUUUCCGAGAUGUGAGAUAAUUAACUUUCUGUCUGUAAUAUCGUAUUGCUUUGGAAUCGCGACAUUACGUACUUUCGAGAAAAGAGGCACGUAUCUCGACACAGACACUGACUUUG
rnacentral:lncRNA from 1 species